rnacentral:rRNA from 1 species
CGKUCUAUGGSCGUCCGAGUUGUAGUCUGGAGAAGCGUUUUCUGUGUCGGACCGUGUACAAGUCCCUUGGAACAGGGCGUCACAGAGGGUGAGAAUCCCGUCUUUGACACGGACUGCCGGUGCUUUGUGAUGCGCUCUCGAAGAGUCGAGUUGUUUGGGAAUGCAGCUCAAAUCGGGUGGUAAAUUCCAUCUAAAGCUAAAUAUGGGCGAAAGACCGAUAGCGAACAAGUACCGUGAGGGAAAGAUGAAAAGCACUUUGGAAAGAGAGUUAAACAGUACGUGAAAUUGUUGAAAGGGAAACGCUUGAAGUCAGUCGCGUCUCUCGGGACUCAGCCGAGCCUUUUUGGCUCGGCGUACUUCUCGGGGCGACGG